rnacentral:rRNA from 1 species
UAAGGAAUAUUGGUCAAUGGACGCAAGUCUGAACCAGCCAUGCCGCGUGAAGGAUGAAGGUCCUCUGGAUUGUAAACUUCUUUUAGACGGGACAAAACCCCUUUACGUGUAAAGGGUUGAUGGUACUGUCAGAAUAAGCAUCGGCUAACUUCGUGCCAGCAGCCGCGGUAAUACGAAGGAUGCAAGCGUUAUCCGGAAUUAUUGGGUUUAAAGGGUGCGUAGGCGGACUAAUAAGUCAGUGGUGAAAGCCUGCAGCUUAACUGCAGAAUUGCCAUUGAUACUGUUAGUCUUGAGUACAGUUGAGGUAGGCGGAAUGUGUCAUGUAGCGGUGAAAUGCUUAGAUAUGACACAGAACACCGAUUACGAAGGCAGCUUGCUAAGCUGUAACUGACGCUGAGGCACGAAAGCGUGGGGAGCAAACA